rnacentral:rRNA from 1 species
GGGGAAUUUUCCGCAAUGGGCGCAAGCCUGACGGAGCAAUACCGCGUGAGGGAGGACGGCUUUUGGGUUGUAAACCUCUUUUAUCAGGGAAGAAUCGAUGACGGUACCUGAUGAAUCAGCAUCGGCUAACUCCGUGCCAGCAGCCGCGGUAAUACGGAGGAUGCAAGCGUUAUCCGGAAUUAUUGGGCGUAAAGCGUCCGUAGGUGGCUUUGUAAGUCUGCUGUCAAAGCGUGCGGCUUAACCGCAUACGGGCAGUGGAAACUAUUGAGCUAGAGUGCGAUAGGGGUAACAGGAAUUCCCAGUGUAGCGGUGAAAUGCGUAGAUAUUGGGAAGAACACCAGCGGCGAAAGCGUGUUACUGGGUCUGCACUGACACUGAGGGACGAAAGCUAGGGGAGCGAAAGGGAUUAGAUACCCCUGUAGUCCUAGCCGUAAACGAUGACAACUAGGCGUGGUUCGUAUCGACCCGAGCCGUGCCGUAACCAACGCGUUAAGUUGUCCGCCUGGGGAGUACGCACGCAAGUGUGAAACUCAAAGGAAUUGACGGGGGCCCGCACAAGCGGUGGAGUAUGUGGUUUAAUUCGAUGCAACGCGAAGAACCUUACCAAGGCUUGACAUCCUCGGAACCUCCUUGAAAGGGGAGUGUGCCUUCGGGAACCGAGAGACAGGUGGUGCAUGGCUGUCGUCAGCUCGUGUCGUGAGAUGUUGGGUUAAGCCCCGCAACGAGCGCAACCCACGUUUUUAGUUGCCAGCAUUUAGUUGGGCACUCUAGAGAGACUGCCGGCGACAAACCGGAGGAAGGUGUGGAUGACGUCAAGUCAGCAUGCCCCGUACGCCUUGGGCUACACACGUACUACAAUGCGCUGGACAAAGAGUCGCAAGUCAGUGAUGGCAAGCCAAUCUCGAAAACCAGUGCUCAGUUCAGAUUGCAGGCUGCAACUCGCCUGCAUGAAGGCGGAAUCGCUAGUAAUCGCAGGUCAGCAUACUGCGGUGAAUACGUUCCCGGGCCU